CCCCUCUCGGGGUCAGAUCCGGAGAGUUUCCACUACUCUACCAGUCUUGACUACGGGAGGGAGAGUCAAGCAGGGGCCUAUCCAUUCCAUUCCUAGCUCGGGCAGUGGCUAGCGGGGGGAAGGCAAUCUGCUACAAGU